AAUAUUGCACAAUGGAGGAAACUCUGAUGCAGCGCCGCCGCGUGAACGAUGAAGGCCUUCGGGUCGUAAAGUUCCGUCCUAGGGGACGAUAAUGACGGUACCCUAGGAGGAAGCCCCGGCUAACUACGUGCCAGCAGCCGCGGUAAUACGUAGGGGGCGAGCGUUGUCCGGAAUUAUUGGGCGUAAAGGGUUCGUAGGCGGUCUUUUAAGUCAGAUGUGAAAUGUCACGGCGCAACCGUGGUAAACAGUUGAAACUGAAAGACUUGAGUUAAGGAGAGGAAAGUGGAAUACCUAGUGUAGCGGUGAAAUGCGUAGAUAUUAGGAGGAAUACCAGUGGCGAAGACGACUUUCUGGACUUAUACUGACGCUGAGGAGCGAAGGCGUGGUGAGCAAACAGG
rnacentral:rRNA from 1 species